GGCGGCAGGUUUCCUUGAUUUUCAUACAAAAUGGCUGAAUUCACCGAGGCGUUCGUUGAUUGGUCCAGAUACUUGGAAGAACCCGAAAUGGGCGGGCACUUACGCCUAGCAUCGCAAUUUGAUUGGUUCAUUAAAGGGGCUGACUGAGGAGGAGCAGCUGUGUGAUUUCGGUAACUUCGGGACUCUGAACCAGACCUGGCUGGGUCAAAAUGUCAACGUUCUUCAUACUUCAGCAGCAGAUUAGCAUGUUGGAUACAAUGGAAACCAAUGGAAUUGUCAUUUAGGUACCAACUCCACGCUGGGUAAUCAAAAGCAUUUCACAGACUUUGACCCAGGUGUUUUUCGCUUGUUUUUGUUGUUGUUGUAUUAAGGGGUUUGAAACAGUUGUUACUAUUUCCAAUGCAUAAAAAAGCAGAGGUAGUAUAUGGUGUGUGGAUCUAACCCAUAAACAACCCCAGCUAACCCAAGACCAUCACACUCCCUGGUUCCAGUGAGAGAUCUGUAAUCUCUUUCUCUCUCUCUCUCUCUCUCCCUAACCCCACCUUCUCUCUCCACCUCCCUCUCCCCUUUCUAUUUCACUUCAUUCAACCUAUCCUCUCCAGUCUCCCUUCUCUCCCUCCUCCCUCCCUCUCUCAUCCCAGACCCCACCCUUUCUCUUUCCCCUAGUGUACACUGUAGAGCAGGGUAAUGGAACACACAGACACCAGAGAGUCUCUGGGAAUGGAAGGUUUAUUCUGCUGACGACAGGUUUCACCUUCCCUUCGAUCCCAAUAGAACCCAUUAUUACAUUCAUGUUAAGCAAUAUGCCGUGAUGAUGGAUAUAGUUAUCAAUGAUACUGAUCAGACCUGAUGAGAAGUAUUACGAU